CCCGAAUGGGGAAACCCAGUGUGACUCGUCACACUAUCAUUAACUGAAUCCAUAGGUUAAUGAGGCGAACCGGGGGAACUGAAACAUCUAAGUACCCCGAGGAAAAGAAAUCAACCGAGAUUCCCCCAGUAGCGGCGAGCGAACGGGGAGGAGCCCAGAGCCUGAAUCAGCAUGUGUGUUAGUGGAAGCGUCUGGAAAGGCGCGCGAUACAGGGUGACAGCCCCGUACACAAAAGCGCAUGUGCUGUGAGCUCGAUGAGUAGGGCGGGACACGUGGUAUCCUGUCUGAAUAUGGGGGGACCAUCCUCCAAGGCUAAAUACUCCUGACUGACCGAUAGUGAACCAGUACCGUGAGGGAAAGGCGAAAAGAACCCCGGCGAGGGGAGUGAAAAAGAACCUGAAACCGUGUACGUACAAGCAGUGGGAGCCCCACCACCAAAGCAUUUGCUGUACCGCGUUGACGGAGCGAAGCGACGUCAAACCGAUAAAACAGCAGUGUAAAGUGAGCCGCAGGGCGCUUUGCGCGACAGCGCAAAGGCAGGCGGUUUCGCGUAGCGAAAGCGAAUGCUUUGGGGUGG
rnacentral:rRNA from 1 species